CACUUAGUCUGGGACUUGAUUUUCUAGACCCUUGUGUGUGUAAAUUUCUGUGGGAAACACUGCCUCCCGGAAAAGACAAAGAAGGCGAAGCUGUAUGAAGUGAAAUGCUUUUAGAACACGAGCCCUUUGAAACAGUCUGUCUUUGUGCCUGGGAGAAUGAGAAUAAUGUGCUCAGACCACGCAGAGCUAUUUUUUACAUAAAGUCCUGGAAAAAUGAACUGGAGACCCCUAGUGAGAGGGCUGAGCGUGGCUGGACAGCUGGACGAAGGCCCAUAGCUAGUGAGGUGUUGGACCCAGAAGUCAGACGUGGGCAGCCUGGGUCCUGAGACGGUGCCUUUCCUCCUGCGUGGGUCUGUUCCGUGUCACACUUCAGUGCGUCCCUUAUCGAGCCCUACUAGCUUUAUGUUCUGCAGUUCGACCGCCUCAUGCACAUGGAUUCUGCACGCACCGCGUCCCAUUCGCUGGUUGCCGUUUGUAGUUUUGCUCCUGUCUGAAAUAAAAUCGGAGCAAUGCAACCUCUGCUACUUC